rnacentral:lncRNA from 1 species
AGUGGUCUGGUGGGUAGGGAACUCUGGAGGAACUCUCGUUUCCCAAGUUGCUCUGGAAAGGUUGAGGGCCUGGGAUACAUGACCCCUAACUAAGGGGCAGUAUGGUGGUACCAUAGGAUUGAUACUUUAUCUAAUGGGGGAGAGGGGCUGGUUGGGGUUUGAAGGAUUCUGAGUCUCUGUAAUGCCCUCUUCCCCUCCUCUUCCCCUGCAUCCUAGAAUGCUGGUGAAAAAGGUCAGAAAGGGGAGCCAGCAGUUAUUGAACUGGUGAGUGGGGGACAGUAAUCAUGAGGUGCAGGGCAGUGUUGAACACCUCCUUCCUUGCAGGGAUGUGGGGGAGGGGGUACUGUGACUGAGUGUGGGCUCAUAUUUGUUUUUCUCUCGAAGGGCCAGCAGUUUGAGGGACCCCCAGGACUUCCAGGGCCUUUGGGAAUAGUUGGCCCUUCAGGCCCUCCUGGCCCACCUGGCUUCCCUGGGGACCCAGGUGAAAGGGGCCCUGCUGGUCGUCCUGGUGUCCCUGGAGUGGAUGGUAUCCGAGGCCUCCCUGGAACUGUGAUUAUGAUGCCUGUGAGUUAGGAAGGGGAAUGGGACAAGAAGGGGCUCUGAUAGUGGAGGGGGCCCAUG